GACGAACGCUGGCGGCGUGCCUAAUACAUGCAAGUAGAACGCUGAGGACAGGUGCUUGCACUAGUCUAAGGAGUUGCGAACGGGUGAGUAACGCGUAGGUAACCUACCUGAUAGCGGGGGAUAACUAUUGGAAACGAUAGCUAAUACCGCAUAAAAGUGCUUAACACAUGUUAAGAACUUAAAAGGGGCAACUGCUCCACUAUGAGAUGGACCUGGGUUGUAUUAGCUAGUUGGUGAGGUAAAGGCUCACCAAGGCGACGAUACAUAGCCGACCUGAGAGGGUGAUCGGCCACACUGGGACUGAGACACGGCCCAGACUCCUACGGGAGGCAGCAGUAGGGAAUCUUCGGCAAUGGGGGGAACCCUGACCGAGCAACGCCGCGUGAGUGAAGAAGGUUUUCGGAUCGUAAAGCUCUGUUGUUAGAGAAGAACGGUAAUGGGAGUGGAAAACCCAUUAUGUGACGGUAACUAACCAGAAAGGGACGGCUAACUACGUGCCAGCCGCCGCCG
rnacentral:rRNA from 1 species